UACCAGCUAGCGUGUGUGGCUCGCUGCGGGCGGCGCAUAGACGCGCCCCCAGCCGCCUCUCCCUCCUCUGCGUAACAGGAGUGUAGGUCGCCGCCGCGCCGCCGCGCUGCUGUCGCCGCACUCGCAUAUCUUCCCCCCUUGUCGCCGUGGUCGCGCCCAGCACCACAGCAUCCACCCCCAGGCCUCUUCGUCCCACGAGGCGGCGCAAGGAAGAACGGCGGGUUCCUCCCGCGUAUCGGCCGGCGGGAGAUCGCCUCCUCCAUCCCCGCAUCAUAGAUAGGAGACCUGUACAAGUAAUCUGUGUAUAAGUCCAAGUGGUAGCUCAUUCUGCACUGUUUUCCAACAAAGCUCUCAAGUUGGAUUUGCUUCCAGAAAUGAGGAGGCAAAGGGAAUAGUACCAUGGGAGACGUGCAUCCUCAAGGAAGUGGGCCUGAUUCAUAUGAUUUAUCUUCCAGGUACAACAUCAAUCCAGGGGUAGCAUCAAACUGUUGAGUGUGACUGUUUUGCUGGAACCUUGGCGUGGGUUGAAUAAGUUUUUGGGCUGAUUCACAAGGUAUAACCUGAAUUUAUCUCACUGGGUUCAGGUGGGUGUUGUUGCAUCAACCUUUCCUAGCUACAAGGCAUGCAUGCAUGUUGAGAGUCUUGAGACAGGAUCACAGGAGGCUAUAUCAUUUGAGUGAGCGUUGUUACCUUGUCGAAAUGUGGGUCCGUCGUAGAAUGGAACUGGAACACUCCUCGUUGACUGCAACAGAGGCAGAGAAGAAAAACAGAAGUUGAUGUGAGAUCAACUUGCACAGACUCAAGCAACUGCUGCUUGUACAACCUGGGCAUUCCACAAAAACUAAGAC